AUCAGAAUCCGGUUGAUCCUGCCGGACCUGACUGCUAUCGGAUUGAUACUAAGCCAUGCAAGUCUUUGUAGUAAUACAAGGCAUACGGCUCAGUAACGCGUAGUCAACCUACCCUAUGGACGAGAAUAAUCUCGGGAAACUGAGCAUAAUUCUUGAUAGAUCAUAAUGCCUGGAAUGGUUAGUGGUUAAAAUGAUUCGUCGCCAUAGGAUGGGACUGCGGCCUAUCAGCUUGUUGGUGAGGUAAUGGCCCACCAAGGCGAUUACAGGUACGGGCUCUGAGAGGAGAAGCCCGGAGAUGGGUACUGAGACAAGGACCCAGGCCCUAUGGGGCGCAGCAGGCGAGAAAACUUUGCAAUGUGCGAAAGCACGACAAGGUUAAUCCGAGUGAUUUCUGCUAAAGGAAUCUUUUGUUAGUUCUAAAUAUACUAGUGAAUAAGGGGUGGGCAAGUUCUGGUGUCAGCCGCCGCGGUAAAACCAGCACCUCAAGUGGUCAGGAGGAUUAUUGG
rnacentral:rRNA from 1 species